UACGUAGGUGGCGAGCGUUGUCCGGAUUUACUGGGCGUAAAGGGAGCGUAGGCGGACUUUUAAGUGAGAUGUGAAAUACCCGGGCUCAACUUGGGUGCUGCAUUUCAAACUGAAAGUCUAGAGUGCAGGAGAGGAGAAUGGAAUUCCUAGUGUAGCGGUGAAAUGCGUAGAGAUUAGGAAGAACACCAGUGGCGAAGGCGAUUCUCUGGACUGUAACUGACGCUGAGGCUCGAAAGCGUGGGGAGCAAACAGGAUUAGAUACCCGU
rnacentral:rRNA from 1 species